rnacentral:tRNA from 1 species
GCCUGGGUGGCUCAGUCGGUUGAGCGUCUGACUUCGGCUCAGGUCAUGAUCUCAUGGCUCAUGAGUUCGAACCCCGCAUCGGGCU